CUUGGCUUAACCUGGUGAUGAUGUCAGCAUGACAUCACCGGCACUAUAAGAACCAGGAAAUGGAAGGCGGGGCCUUCUUUCAAACAAUUUUCCUGCAUGGUGGGCCUACACAGAAGAACAAUUGGAGGAACCGGAGAAAAAGGUGUCUGGCUUACGAUCCAGUGAACCUCCAGUGUGUUUCUUUACAAGUGACGGCUUAUACAAGAGUUCAGCUGCUCUAUAAGAAGUCCCGCUUGGUUGGAGGAGCUAACGCACGUGUCCAUUUGAAUGGGAGGAAGCAGAGGAGGCCUGGGAGUCUUCAGCGGGCAUUGAACUCUGAGACGGUGGUCGUGUGUUCAGAUCUCGGGGGACUCCUGGGUUUAACCUCUGACCUCCAGUAAAGCCUGAGAGCGGUCUUCAGGGAGGAUGUUGGGUUGACUCAGGAAGUGAGGGCAGGUGUCAGCUGCUGGCGUUGGGACUGGUGACGCUGGACGCUUUGCUGACGGCUCGCUUCACUCAGCUGGUACUUUGUUGAACUUCAAAAAGAAGCAGGACAUGUGUUCAGGUGAGCAGAGACGAGGAGCUGCAGGCCUGUCAGGAGCUGUCAGCAGCAGGGAGCAGCUCAUCGAGACGGGGAGGGUGACCGGAGUGACAGCGGCACUCGUCAACCACAGACGCAGGAGCUGGAGGCGACAAGGCCAGCAGUCCCGCCGCUGUGUGAGAGAAGGGAGAGGCCUGCACGACACGCUCGUCCUCCCCCUCACCUCCCCCUCUCCUCUCCCGCUCCCCGCAACAGUGACAAAGUUAUCAUGAGACAGCACGUCUCCACGGCUUGUCUUGGUGUGCGUGGGACAAAGCCAUCAGGGCCACUGGCUCUGUUUACACGGAUUACAGUCUUUGCCCCUGGCAGAAGAAAAGUGCUGCCUCACCGCUCUGAAAGGUGAAGAAAACAAUGGCAGCACGAUUGACAUCUGAAGAAGCCUGGUUUCUUUCACAGGCCGUCUCAAGCCAAAGCCUUAAAGGACACAUGCAGCUGCAAGUACUUGCACAUAUUUCAAGGUUAGACGGCACAACACAGAUCAUCUGGGGAGGUUUCUCCUACACAGUAAUUCCCCUCUAAAAGGCUUCUAUUUGCUUAAGGAUUGUUGUAUCAUAGAAAAGGAGCAUCAGAGGCUUUGCCGCAACCCGGGGCUGACAGUCACAUAAUCUAAUUUCUGUAAUUAUCAUGUGAAAGAAAAUAUGAAAAUCGCAUAACAUUGAAAGGCGAUAAGAGCCUUCAAAAGACUUAUCAGGCAAAACUAACAAGCAAGGGGAGGCUUAUAAAUGUCAGCAGAGCACAGGUGCACGGUACUCUAAACUCUCAUUCCCUCCUUCCUGCUGCUUCUCAUUAAGGAAUCAUAAUUUACAGCCAAUCAUUUAUGCCAAAGCCUCUAGCAACAGGUUAGUCCUAAUUUAAAAAUCAUUCCACAGAGGGGAGAAAUAUUCCCUCAUGAUAUCUCUGCCAUUCUAAAACAUUGGCAACAUUUUCUAAUUUGGAGAUUUAAUUUCAAACGCGUUAUUACCAUCAUUUCACAGUUUUGAAUCCACUCAUAUUCAUAUUAGCAGAUGGGCAGCUUCAUUCAGUGCUUUGCCAUAUUA